CGGAGCUGCCCGCAGCGACACCGGCGGUGAGGGAGGGCGGGCACGGGCUGUCCCCGGCACGGGCACCUCGGCCACGGGGACGCCGGUGGCCUGGAAGGAGCCAAGGGGAGGGCAAAUGGCACAGCAGCAGGGCAUGGCAGGAAGGUUUGGAGGUCCUCCUUGAUCCAAGGUCUCUGGCGUCCUUCUCCUUAGGAACCAGGUGCACCUCCAGCCCUGAGACAUGUCCUGCUACAACCAGUGCCUGCCCUGUGGCCCCACCCCACUGGCCAACAGCUGCAAUGAGCCCUGCAUCAGGCAGUGCCAGAACUCCACCGUCGUCAUUGAGCCUCCUGCUGUGGUGGUGACCCUGCCUGGCCCCAUCCUCAGCUCCUUCCCACAGAACACCGUUGUGGGAUCCUCCACCUCCGCUGCCAUUGGCAGCAUCCUCAGCUGUGAUGGAGUGCCCAUCACCUCUGGGUGCUGUGACCUCUCUGGCAUUUCCAGAUGCUACAGUGGCAGAAGGUGCCUCCCCUGCUAAAGACUCUGGGGAAACCCCAGGGAGACACCCUGAGGAACUCAGAACAUGGUGCUGGGCAAAGGAUCGAUGUUUUCAAUGCUGCUUUCAGCAUAGCUGAAUGACUUUGGUUUUCUCUCCCUUUUCCUUGUUUGCUUCACAUCCCCUUAGCAGCAAGGUUCCCACAAGGCUACCCUGGUGGGGACCAUCUGUCUUCCUCAUCCUCUAU